ensembl:lncRNA
CGACUCUUUGCGGCCCCGUAAAUCACAGCACUCCAGGUCUCUGUGUCCAUCACCAUCUCCCGGAGUUCACUCAAACUCAUAUGCUAAUUAUACCUCAAUAAGGUCAUUUAAAAAACAGGUACACUAGAGUCUCACUUUAAUGUAAAAUUGUCCAGAGGUCUUGCCCCCUGCCUUUUGAAAAAUACAACAAAAAUCUUACCAGUCAUUCAGUUAUAAAGAUCCCUUGACCAGUUCACUCAGAAUUGUACAUUAUAAUAAACAGUUUUGUAAUGAGGUUAUAAUGAAUAAAUAUUAAUGAUAAUUUUGGUUUAUUCCUAUACAAAACAGUUGUCCCCUGGGUAAGUCAGUAAUUUUAAAGAUUUUGUAACAAGUUCAAGCUCAUUGAAAUAUCUUAUAAUCAGCUGGAUAAUAUAAAGUCUGAUUAGCAAAGUACAGAUUGACAGCAGUAAAACAGUGAGGCUAUUUCAUUUGUGAAAAGAAUUUAAAUUAUGAAAGUCAAUGAAAAUAGUAAAAGGUCUCUAUCACUGGGAAUUAAACAACAGUAGAUGGCAUAUUAUAUCUAUUACAACUUGAAAAUAUUCCUUCAGAUAACUAGUUAAUAUUGGACUUGGGCAACUCUUGUUUAGUUUUCUCAAUUUUGCAGAGGAAGUCAAGAGUAAGGUUUAAUGGACCACAUUAUUCCUUAGGAAGACGUUCAACUGAUAUAGACUAUCCUUAUGGAUUUGGAGAUGAAAGAAAGAUGAAAGAAAAGAGCCUCAAAGAACAUGAUUCUGCUUCAUAGGUUAUAAAUUCAAAAAUUGAUGUCUUGCCUUAAAAUAAUGUAAUUCACACAAUUUAUCCCUUAUAUAAAUAUAGAAAAAUAAUUUCUGAGUGAUUAUGCUAAUGGGAAUGAUAAUUUAAUAAUUAUACUGAUUUAAGAAUCAGUUUAACCUAAUGAAGUUAAAUUUCAUUUCUUCUGAUGUGAUCUUUGUCACAUCAAAUUGGUUGUGUGUCAGUUAUUUCAUGUAGCUCCUUGUAAUAUCUGAGGAUAGGAUUUGGGCCCUGAUCUUAAUGACACGGUGUGUCUGGAAAGAAGAUUAAUAAUGAAACAGCAAAUUUGAAUAACACUGUAGACCAGAUGAACCUAACAGACAAGUCCAAAAUAUCCCAUUCAAUAGCAGCAGAAUAGAUACUUGUCUUAAGUACACACAGAACUUCUUCCUAGAUCGAUCACAAACUAGUUCACAAAACAGUUCUUAACAAAUUUAAGAAGUUGGAAAUCAUUCCAAGUAUCAUUUAUAAUUAGAAUGUAAUAAAGAUAAAAAUAAAUAAUAAAAGGAAAAAAUGAGUAAUGUCACAAAUGCAUAAUGAUUAAAUAACAGAUUCUUGAACAAAAAAUGGAUCAAAGAAGAAAUCAAAUAAAAAUUAGAAUAUAUCUCCUGACAAACUACAAUGAAAAAACACAUAUCAAAACUCAAAGGAUAUAGCAAAAAGAAGUAUUCAGAAGGAAUUUCAUAGCAUUAAAUGCCUACAUUUAAAGUGAUGACAAAUCUCAUGUUAGUAACCAAAUUUUACACCUCCCAAAGAAUUAGAAAAGGACUAGAAAACUAAGGCUAAAGUUAGCAGAAGGAAAUAAUAGAGAUAAAAGUAGAAAUUAGAGAAUAGGAAAGCAAUGCAAAAAGUCCACAGAAGUGACGUUUGGUUAUUUUUGUUUGUUUGUUUGUUUAAUACAGAAAUAAAAUCAUCAAACCCUUAGCUAGACUACCUGAAAGUAAAAAUGAAGAGUCAAAUAUGUAACUACCAGAAAUGAAAGAAAUAUAUUACAGCUGAUGCUAUAGAAAUUUUAAAACAUCAUUAGAAACUAUUAUGAACAAGUAUACAUCAACAUAUUGAAUAACAUAAAAUAAAAGGAUAAAUUCCUAGAAAUAUACAGCCUACCAAGACUGAAUUAUAAAGAAAUAGAUGGCAGAGUGUCAUUACUCAAAGGGUACUAAAUUUCAUCUCUGCCAUAUGAAUAAGUCCCAGAGCUCUUCUGUACAGCAUAGUGUCUGUAGUAAACAAUAUUCUAUUGUAUACUUGAAAGUUUGCCAAGGGAGUCAGUUGUACUUGUUGUGUUCUUAUUACAAAAAGAAAACCCCAGAAAUAACAAAUAAGGAGGGCAGGAGCAAACCUGUGAAUGUGAAAGUAGCUGAGUCAUGUCCAACUCUUUGUGACCCCAUGGACUAUACAGUCCAUGGAAUUCUCCAGGCCAGAAUACUGGAGUGGGUAGUUGUUCCCUUCUCAGGGGGAUCUUCCCAACUCAGGAAUCAAACCCAGGUUUCCUGCAUUGCAUACAGAUUAUCAGCUGUGUUACCAAGGAAGCCCAAACUUUUGAAGGUGAUGAAAAUAUUUAUGGCACACAUAACAUAUGUACAGCUUUUUCUUUGUCAAUCAUACCUUGAUAAAGUGGUCUAAAAAUAACAUUUUCCUGAACGUGAAUAAUGACUAUUGUGAAACCUUCCAUCUAUCUCAAAUUAACAUAUGGAUAAUAUACAACCCCCUGAAACAUACCUUAUGAGUGCUUUUAAAAAGUUUAACAAAAUAGUUCUAAAGUUGAUCCACAGGAGCAAACUUGCAAGAAUAACUAGACAUUUAUUUGAAAAAUAAAAAGCAAUGAGGGAGACAGGAUACCAGAUGGUAAAAUGUCAUAAAAGCCUCAUAAAAAGACAGUGUAAGGCAAUGCCCAAUAACACCAAUAAUAAGCAAAAGAGAACAGAUAGCCCUGAAAUAGACUUACUGGGUGAAAAUUAUGCUUUUUGAAACUAAGUAGAACUAAGUAUAUUAUUCAGGCUUCCCUGGUGCCUCAAUGGUAAAGAAUCCUCCUGCCAGUGCAGGAGACACAGGUUUGAUCCCUGGGUCAGGAAGAUCCCCUGGAGAAGGAAAUGGCAACCCACUCAAGUAUUCUUGCCUGGGAACUUCCAUGGACAGAGUGGGCUACAGUCCAUAUGUUCACAGAGAGUUGGACAAUACUGAGCAACUAAACAACAAAUGUAUUAUUCAUUCAUUAUGUUUGGGAAAUGGCUAAUUAAUUUGAAAUUUUUCUAAGAAAUUCUUUACCUAUUCCAUAAAAUAGCAUUAUCAGCCAUCAUUUUUAGAGAAAAUAUAAUUACUGGACAUGAAAAAAAGCUUAUGUUUUACUGGACAUGAAAAAAGUUUAUGUUUUACCUUAUUGACUGUAGUAAAAAUAAUGAAAGAUUUAAAACUUUUCUAGUGAUAGAUUAUUACAACUCUAUUGUUAAAUAACCAUCAGAAAUAAAGAGGCAGAAAUACAGUAAAGAGAUAUUUACUAGAAUAGGUAACGGAGUGGUUAUAUUAUAAAACAAUUAAAAAGUAAUUUCCAUUAAUGAUCAUGAAAAAUAGUCAUUAAUACUUCCAGAACAUAAUUAUCUUGAUAGCUAACCUAUGCACUCCUGGUUAGAUUUGUUAGAACAUCAUAAUUCAUCUCAGUAAACACAAUUAGCAUCAACCCCAGCCUUAUGAAUGGACCUCAUACCUCAUAAAGCAAGGGGCUUUCUAUUGGAGUGUUUUAAUUAGUGAUGGACUGUUUCUCCUUGUCCCUUGGUAGAUAUAAUAGAACUACAAUAAGUUAGGGCUUUUUUUUUCAUCCCCAGAGAUCUUUAAUAAUAAGUUUUUGGGAAAGUUUCUCAGUUAUUAAAGUUUAAGGCAUGACAAUUGAAAGAAAUGAAUUUAAGUCAAGGGUAUUAGAUUAUCAUCUCAAUGAGAAGUGAAAUCAGCACUUUCAAAAUGCUAGAGAGUCCAAACAUUGUUCCUCCCUGUGUGAGAAACAAUGGGGAACUUAAAAUAGCAGCUUUUGUUGUUACUUAAGAUUAUUAGUUUAGAUAAGCAGUAGACAUUAUCAUAGUGCUAAAAUAAUUACAGGUUUUAUUCAGUUUUAACUUGUCACCAAGAACAGUCUUUCAUUACAUUGGUCAGUAUUGAAAUGUAUAAAAGAUUUUUCCUUCUGCUCUCAACAUUGUUAAGUAAACACACACACACACAAACACGUAUAAAACACAGAAAUUGCCAAAGAUGUGUAUUUCUUUCUUUCUUUAUAUUUUCUUGCCUUUUUUCUCCCUAAUAAAUAUUAAGGCACACAAACUGUGUUGCAGCUCUAAAGACCCUCUCAGGAAACUGGGACAGAAUUUCCUCGAAUUAAUCCUCCAGUAAUGCUGAAGGAGUAUAGAUUCAUUUGGUUCAGAAAGAUUUCUUUUUUUUACUUGAGAGUUUAGAUUGUAAUUUUGAUAAUAUCUUGCUUGGAAAGUUAAUAAAUUUGAUUGGGAAUCAUGGAGACUUUGUCCUGAAAGUAAGAUAAUAGAUUUUUCAAGUCUAAGUUUAACUUGGUUUUGGUGGGUGGGUUAAGGGAGUAUAGACCUAAUCUGGGACAAGAAAACAUAUGCAUUAACCUUGUAUAUUUGCCCAGAGUCUUUUUAUUCCCAUACUGAAAUGAAAUGAAAUAACAACACAAGCACAUAGCCUGUGAGUUUGUAUGAACUUGCUUUAUCAUCCAAAAGCUCUCUAUAUUUCCUCUGGUUUCAUAUUUUAGAUUAGCUGUAAGGUCCACUGGAAACUCCUGUCAUCUCAUUUUAAUGAAUUCUUCUUAAGCAAUUGAACUGCUUAAUUGAAGCACUCUUACAGCAAGGGAUCUCACAUCUCUAAUGUGAGAAACUAGCAAAAGUGAAAGUGAAGUUGCUCAGUCGUGUCCGACUCUUUGCGUCCCCAUGGACUGUGGCCUACCAGGCUCCUCCAUCCCUGGGAUUUUCCAGGCAAGAGUACUAGAGUGGGUUGCCAUAUCCAAGUUGUGAAUAGAGAAAGAUUCCCUUGGUCAAAGAGAAUUAGGAAACUUCUUCAAAACUGACUUUAAAUUUUGGCUUGCUCUGAUCCAGCCCCACCCUGGGAUGCUAUGAAGACAGUAGACUUGUCAUCCUGUACAUUAUGCUGAACUGUUGAAAUUAGCUUUUAAGUUUUAUUCAAUAAGAAACUUGUAGUGCUUUCUGAUUAAAUAAAAAACAUAGUCAU